GGGGUGGGGCACGGGGGUUUCCACAUGAGCCCAAGAGAAGGGGGGGGGUCUUUAGGUGGUCUGUCUGGUUUCGUUUCUGCUGAAACGAAAGAAUGAGCAGCUGGUUUUAGGAGAUCGGAGGAGC